rnacentral:lncRNA from 1 species
CUAAUUCAUACCUAAACACUACUUGAUCUUAUCUGAGCAGAGAAGCCGCGGCACACUUUUCAUCUUCCAUCUCACUCUAGCCGGUUACGCUGACGGCGGAGCUUCCCUUCCCGGUGGACUCUGCCCCGUACCCAGCCCGAUUGUGAGGUGGAGACCGUUUUGCCGUUGGAACUCUGCGAUGAAGACUGCCCGCGGUCAGAGCCUCUUUCGUAUUGAUUGCGUUGGGGCAGUGAUGGCCACGCGGGCUGAACAAUUAUCAAUUUCACUGUUUUAUUUUUAUGCAUUUGUUUUGUUUAUGAUAUUUUUUAGUUAGCUACUAUUGUGCUUUUUUGUUUUGAGUUGGGUUUGUACCAACUACCAAUGAUGUUUUUUAAACAAUCCAACUUGUCUGAGGUUGUUGUUAACCCAAGAUCCUGUUCGCAGGGUGAACCUACUUGGUGUUGCUACAUUUCCAAUGACAUAAAGAGAUUAAACUGAGGA